UUUUUUUUUUUUUUUUUUUAAAUUAAAGUAUAGUUGAUUUACAAUGCUGUGAAAAUAGAUUCUAUUUUUGGCCACACCCAUGGCAUUCAGAAAUUCCCAGGCCCAAAUCAACCCUGUGCCACAGCAGCACCUCGAGCUUCAGUAGUGACAAACCUUGAUCCUUUACCCGCUGUGAUACCAGGGAGCUCUAUAACGUGGAACUUGUAAAAGUCAUUCAUCAAAUAAAGAGGUUUGUCCCGUUGACCUUGGCCUAGUCCAUGGAGCACUUGCUAAGUACUUACUACGUACCAGUCAGUGUGCUGAGCACUGGAAACACAAGGUUAAAAGGCAUGACGUUUCCUAUAAGGAAAACAGGCAACUCCCUAGACAUUACCUGCACUAAGCUGAGAGCCACGUGAGCCCAGAGGUGAGGCACAUCCAGGGAAUUCACGGAGGGUUUCUGAAGGAGGUCAAAUCUCACCUGAGUCUUGGAGUACAAGGUAGGCAGGUAGAAAAAGGGGGUCGGUAUUCUGGGGAGUCGAAGCAGUGUGAGAAAAGGCACACAGUGUGAGGUGACAUGAAAGGGACGUUCCUUCUCCAUUCUGUAGUUUGUCCCCACAUGGAGGGAGCGCAUGGAUUUGGGGGAGGAUAAUGGAAAUAAGAUUAAAGGUGGGGAGGCCAAUAUGGAAGUGACUGCAGGAGUUCCCAUCGUGGCACAGUGGAAACAAAUCCGACUAGGAACCAUGAGGUUGUGAGUUUGAUCCUUGGCCUCACUCAGUGGGUUAAGGAUCUGGUGUUGCCGUGAGCUGUGGUGUAGGUAGCAGACACAGUUCAGAUCAGGUGUUGCUGUUGCUGUGGCUAAAAGACCACACAAAGAAGAUUUAAUGAUUGGCCAGUUGUGGUGGGAUGAAUUAGCAGGAAUAACCUGGGAUGAGUCCCAGUUUCCUGACUUCAGUCACCAAGUGGACUGUAAUGUCAGUUACUGAGAAAAACACAGCAAAACGACCCAACUUGGGGGAAGUCGGGCAAUGGUGCAUUUAGUUUGGGCCACGUGGAUUUUCAUGUCUGAGAUCUCCAGCUGAGAGGGGUAGGAGUCUCGAGUCCAGCAGUGCUGUCAGUACAGGAGAUUUGCAUUUAGAGGCCAUCAGCAUGGGGAGGGGAACAUUAAAAUCAUGACUGUGUUGGGGAGUAUAGGAAAAUGAAAGAGUGAGGCAGAAAGCAACCCAUUGAGGAAUGCAAACAUUUAGGAUGUUGGCAGAAGAGAGUAAUGGGGGAAAUAUGACAAAAAGUAACCAUCAAAAAUGUAGAAGAAGACUCAUGAGCGAUGUCAAAGAAGUAGGAAUUUCAGGAGGAUUUGAAGGAGAAAUAGUGUCCAACAGUAGAAAGGGCCAUAGACUUAGACAGGGAGUGUCCAGUGGCUUUGGCAAUUUGGAGGUGAUGUUUUUGAAAGAAGUUAGAGUUGUGUAGUCUGUUCAUAAGCCAGGUGGCAGUGGGUUGAGGAGUGAGGAAGUGAAGACCCCAAUUAUCAAGCUAUUUUCAUGAUCCUUUGCUGAGAGGUCAAGGGGAGGUCAAGAGAGACUUGCUCCUCCAAAGGUGAAUCUUGAUGUAUUUAUAGGCUAAGGGCAAUGGGCUAAUAGAAAGCAAGAGGGUGAAUUUAUUGAAGAAAGGGGAGUAUGAAUGGAACAACAUCCCCAAGGAUAAAGGAGAUCAUGAAUAAAAGGCUGAGAUGGGGGUAGGUAGGAGGGAGAGGGGGGAGAGAGAGAGAGGGAGUGUGUGUGUGUGUGUGUGUGUAGGAGGGAGAGGGAGAGAAGGAGUGGGGGGGGAUGGGCUUAUCUUGAACAGAAGAGAUGCCUUUUACCUUGAGACCCUGGAAAAAAAAAGUGAAGGGUGUUUAUAAAUGAGAAGCCUUGUUUAAGUGUUGAUGUUUUUGGUGGAGGCUGGAGGGGAGGGAGGAAGCAGAAGUUCAUGCCGGAAACCUCAUUUUCUUGAUAAAAUAGGAGGCAAGGUUAGGUGCUGAGAAAAUCUUGGGGCUUGAGAAUGGAGUAAAGUUUUGGCAUGAGUGCCAGGCAGCGUGGGAGAAGAGAGGCUAACUACGGAAGUGGCGACCUACCCUGGAGUUGGCCUGGUUAGAGGGGAGAGAGAGUGAUCAGAAGAUCCUGCAGACUGGGUGAAAACUGGAAGAACAAGGACCAUGGUCCAUGGGAUGUUAGAGGUGGCGAUGAGGGCAUGAGAGACAAGAGGUCAUCAGCAGAGAGUGGCAUUUUUCAGUUACUCGGUUCUAAAACAAUAACUAAUAUUUGAACAGCGCUCUACCUUUUGGGAAAAGUUUUUGCAGACCUGUUUCAUUUGUUUUCAUAGCAGCAUUUUGAGACAUGUGUUAUUAUUUUUCUACUCUCCAGAGAUGAAGCGAGACGCACAGAAAUAGUGACUUACUCAAGGUCAGACAAGUAGAAAAGGCUGGACUUCAAACUAGAUAUUUGGUCUCCAGGCUUCACACAGAUAGGCUUUGAUAUUAAAAGACAUUGAGGAUCCAAGUCAGGAAUAAAAUACAUGACUUGAGUUGAUUUUUCUAGGAGGAAGAAUGGAUCUUUUCUUCUCUACGUGUGACCCCAAGCACAGGGCAGCCAGAGGGCUCACUGACAUGAUGUCUUAAUCGAGGUAAGCCUUGGCUUUCCUGGGCUAAUGAACCCACACAGCUGCAGAGGUGCACGCAUGCCCUGAGCUAGUUUAAGCUACACACCCAUUCUGCUGUACCUGCUGCUCCUCUGCCUAAAAUAUCCUCCCUGUGGUUGUCUCCUGGAUAACUCCUACGUAGUUCAAAGCCCCCCUCUAAUACCUGUCUUCUUGCGGGCUGAUCCAAUUGCCCUAUUUUGUACUCUUAAGGGUAUCCUGGCUCUUCCGUUAUCCAUCUCUUUGAAAUUAUUGCCUGUGCACCUCCCUAGACAAAGAGCACCUUGAAGCCAAGAACUGGGUCUUAGGUCUCUUUGAAUCUCCAUACAAAAUGCCCCACACAACACUUGAUGCAAAUAGAAGUCAGUCACCUGCAAAUAUGGAAAAUACAACCCCUUGUCCCAACUCUCAGUGGAAACCAGCUAAGCGCAUGAGUGAGUCCCAUUGCACAGUCAGUCUGAAUGGAGCCUCCAGGGUUUUUUUUUUGCUGAGAUGACAAACGGUGGCAGAUGUAUUAAGGGCAGAUCAUUAGCAAGAGCUUCCCUCCUUUCCUGAGGCUUGUCUUCCUUUUUACCCCUGAAGGCCUAGCAUUUUAACAUAUCCAGACAUUAACUACUUUCCUCCACCUCUGCUACCACUACAGCUGGUCUACGCCAACAUCAUCUCUUGCUUGGAUUAUUGCAACAGCAUCCUAGGUGGUCUCCCUGCUUUACCUUUCCCAGGGUGCAGUCCCAUCUCCCUGGAUCUGAAAGCUAAAAUCUUUUCAGGUAUAUUCAGUGCCCUGCAGGAUCUGGCCCCUGUGAGCUCUGUGACUCCACCUCCUACCCAGCUACUUGGUUGUCCUCACUGUCUCUCAGGCACCAGGUCCUCUCCCACCCCAGGACCUGGACUGUCCCUCCCUUGCCUAGGACCCUCCUGCCCCACUGUCAUCAGCACCCUGUCCUUUCCUUCCUCUGCUCUGACCCCCUCAGUCAGGCAUCAUGCCUGGCCAAAUCCCCCAAACAUUACCACCUCCGACUCUUGCGCCGAUGUUUCCUCUUGGGCUCUCUGCUUUAUUUUUUACUUAGUCCCUGAUGCUAACUAGAAUACCACAUGCUUUACUACUGAUCGUGGUGUUUAUUUUCUCUCUUCCCAAAGGCAGUGAACUAGAACUGCUUGGGUCAUUUCUGUAUCCUCCAAACCCAGAACUCUGUCUGGUACAGUGGCGGCGAUGAGUAUUGGUUGAAUGAAUGAGUUCUGAUUCAAGGCUGACCUCAUAUCUCCUGGGUAAAAAGGGAUAGGUCUAGGGAGUUCCUGCUGAGGCACAGUGCAUUAUGAUCCAGUUUAUCUCUGUGGAGGCACCAGUUCAAUCCCCGGCCUGGCACAGUGGGUUAAGGAUCUGGAGUUGCUGCCCCUGUGGUGGAGGUCGCAGCUCCAGCUCCGGUUUGAUCCCUGGCCAGGGAACUUUCAUGUGCUGGGGGGAAAAAAAGGUGGGGGGAGGAUGGUUCUAGGAGUUCUCGUGCAGUGCAGUAAGUGAAAGAUCUGCACCACAAGAGAACUUCAAUUGAUUGCAGGUUUGAUCCCUGGCCUGGGAACUUCCACAUGCUGCUAGCCAGCCAAAAAAAAAAAAAAAAAAAAAAAACCCUAAACACCCAACAAAAAAAGGAUGGUUCUAGAGAGUUCCCUGGUGGUUUAGUCAUAAUGAUGCAGUGCUUUCACCCCUGCAGCCCAGGUUCAGUCCUUUCUCUGGAAACUGAGAUCCUAUAUCAAGAAAAAAUUUUCAAAAUAAAAAUAAAAAACAUGGUUCACAAAUUGUUCAAAUGCAUUCAUUUGGUUUGCAUAACUAGAGCCCUGGUUUCCACUCCAUGCCUGUUGGUUAAUGUAAGCUGAUAGCCCUCAUAACCCAACUGCAACUGGCCUUUGUCCCAGCCCCCACUCUCUGCUGGAUCCAUCCACCUGCUCUAUGCUCAGCUUGUCCCUCCCAGACCCCUGCGUUUUCCUUUGUACUCCCUCUGCUCCUCCUGUUGCUUUGUCUCAGGAAAACCUCAUCCCUCUUGGAGAAAAACCUUCCUUUCCAUUGUUUUCAGUGAUUUAAUCUUUGCUUUUUAAUCAGAUAUGAGGAGGUGGGGGUGGGAUUGGGGAAUGUACUCAGACCAUCAUACAUCAUUUUAUGGAAGAAAAAGCCUGACAUUUUCAUGGCCAAAUAAAUCCUGGAGCUCGGGGACUGGAAAAGACCUAAAAGGCCAGCUCAUUCGUCUUCACACCUCUGCGUAGUUCUGCACUGAAAGCCACCCCCACCCCCAGUGCCACUGUCUAGCUGUCUCUCCAACUCUGCUCUGGGGAAGCGACUUCCCUGACCUCUUUCAAUAAGACGUUUCAGUGUCUCAGUGGAAAAUAUGAAAUUAUUGUUAAAUUACUUGCAGUGGAGUUAUAGAAUUGGAGCACAAGUGUACAACUCUGGAGUCCUUGGCAGAAAGCUGGGCUCUGAGGUGAGACCAACCUGGAUUUAAAGUUUGAAUUGGGGAGUUCCCAUUGUGGCACAGUGGAAAUGAACCUGACUAGUAUCCAUGGGGAUGUGGGUUUGAUCCCUGGCCUCAUUCAGUGGGUUAAGGAUACGGUGUUGCUGUGGCAUAGGCCAGCAGCUGUAGCUCUGAUUCGACUCCUAGCCUGGGAACGUCCAUGUGCUGCAGGUGUGGCCCUAAAAAAAAGCAAAUAAAUAAAGUUUGAAUUGACCACUAAGCCAACUGGGAGACCUAAUAAAUGUUUCUUCUCUCCUUCCUUGCUUCUAUUCCUCUCCCCCCAACCCAGAUGUAUUUCUCCUUUAGUAAACCAUCUAAGUCUUCAUUACAGAAUUUUUAAAUCCAAGAGAACAUUUCAGCUUGAUGAUUCCCCAGUCUUUUUCAAAGACUGCCCAUAAGUCAUUCCCACCUAAACACAAACACAGUUGACGUCGGGGAUAGACAAUACAGUCUGUGGAGAUUGGGUUUGAAUUCAGUUCUAGAAUGAAUCAACACUAUGAAUUUGGGCACUUGACUUCUUACCAUCUUGUUUCCUCAUCUGUAAAAUGGGUGUAAAAUUGCUAAGACAUGGAAGCAAUCUAAGUGUCUCUCAACAGAUGAAGGGUAUUCCAAGGUAAUAUUUUAGCCAUAAGAAAAAAAAUGAAACUUUCCCAUUUGCAGCAACAUGGAUAGACUGGGAGGGAAUUAUGCUAAGUGAAAUAAGUUGGAGAAAGACAAAUACUGUAUAUCACCUAUAUGUGGAAUCUAAAAAAUACAACAAACUAGUGAAUAUAGCAAAAAAGCAGCAGACUCACAGAUAUAAAGAACAAAGUAGUGGUUACCAGUGGGGAGAGGGAAAGGGGUUGAGGAUUAAGAAGUACAAACUGUUAGGUGUAAAAUAAGCUAUAAUUGGAGUUUCCUGGUGGCCUAGUGGUUAAGGCUUUGGCAUUGUCACUGCUGUGGAUGGGGUUCCCUCCUGGGAACUUUCGCAUGCUAUGGACACAGUCAAAAAAUAAUAAAAUAAAAUAAGCUAAAAGGACUAAUUGUACAACAUGGGGAUUAUAGUUAUUUUAUAAUAACUAAAAAUGGAGUAUGACCUUUGAAAAUUGUGACUCUAUUGUACACCUAUAAUUUACAUAAUAUUAUACAUUAGUUAUACUUCCAUAAAAAUAAGUAAAAUAAAAUGCUCCAAAAAUUUUUUUAAGUAAGUAAAUAAUUCAAAUGGGUAUAAAAUAUCUUCCACCCAUGGAGUUCUUACAGCAAUUAAAGGAGAUUUGGUAUAGAAAGGAUUCAGCAUAGCACCCUGAAACUUAGUAUGUACUUAAUCCCAUGAUAGUGGUAAGAGCUAAUAUGUACUAUAUAUGCCCAUUGAAUAUGUGUCAGGCCCUAAGAACUAUUUCAUGUAUGUUAGUUCACUCAAUAGCAAAUGAUAGUGGAGGAUGUUGCUUCCGUGAUCAUGAAGAUGAUCGUGUUUUAGGAGUUCUCCUGUGGCUCAACAGGUUAAGGAUCCAGGGUUGUAGUUCAGUGGCUUGGGUCACUGCUGUGGCCCAGGUUUGAUCUCCAGCCCAGGAACUUCCACCUGCUGUGGGUACAGCCAAUGACUGUUUUAAAGACCCAUGAGGGAAAGUGUUUUGGGUUCUCUCUUCUCAAAGGCACUGUUAUUUGUUGUGAAAGAUACUUCUAAGAUACUGUGAGUGGCUGAAGUUCCCUCAGCUGAAGAGAAGGGAAAAGUGGGCUCAGAGGAAGGAUGGGAGAGCAGGGUGUGAGGGGGCAUUUUUGGUGGUCUCCAUG
rnacentral:lncRNA from 1 species